rnacentral:misc_RNA from 1 species
GAUGAAGAACGUAGCGAAAUGCGAUAAGUAAUGUGAAUUGCAGAGUUCAGUGAAUCAUCGAAUCUUUGAACGCACAUUGCGCCCGUCAGUAUUCUGACGGGCAUGCCUGUCCGAGCGUCAUUUCAACCCUCAAGCACGGCUUGUGUGUUGGGCCUCCGUCCUCCUCCCGGGGGACGGGCCCGAAAGGCAGCGGCGGCACCGCGUCCGGUCCUCGAGCGUAUGGGGCUUCGUCACCCGCUCUUGUAGGCCCGGCCGGCGCUUGCCGACACAUCAAUCUUUUUUCCAGGUUGACCUCGGAUCAGGUAGGGAUACCCGCUGAACUUAAGCAUAUCAAUAAGCGGAGGA